rnacentral:rRNA from 1 species
AUGGAGACAGAGGGCGCUGGCGAGGAAGGUGCCGGUGUUGAUGAGACCGCCGGCGAGGAGGCCGCCGGGGCUGCUGCUGCGGAAGCCGGCGAGGGGUCGGGCGAUCGCACUGACGACCCUGAGGCCGCAGGAGCGCCGGGCGCUGCGCCGACCGCCGAACCCUCUGCCGCUUCUGCGGAGCCGGGCUCCGAGGAGCCCCAGCCUGGCGCCUACUUGCAGGCCGGUGACGAUAUCUUCAUCAAGCUACCCUGGGCGUCGAGCUCCAGGGCGCCGGUCGAGGGGGAGACUUUUGAUGGGGAGGUGCUCGCCUCUGCUGGACUGUCAUUGGUUGACACGCCCGGCAGCAGCAGUGGCGAGCCUGAAGAGGAGCAGCUGCUGCGGAAGCUACUGUCACUCUACCGCACCCGGCAAGCCAAGCUGGCUUCCCGGGAAGCGCUUGUCGCAAAGGCGGGAGUUGACAUGGAAAAGCGCGCGGAGGAGCUCCGGGGCCAAAAUCAAGAAGCUCUUCGGUCCAUGGCGCAGGAGCGGGAGCUAGUCGAUGAGGAGCGUACGGCCUUUCUUCUCGAGAAGGCCGAGGCUGAGGAGGAACAAUGGUUGGCUGCCGAGAAGCAGUCCGCGCGCGAAGGUGAACUAGUGCAGCGGAAGGCCCACCUUGACAGCUACGAGGAAGAGCUCGCCGAGCGCGAGCGAGCACUUGGCGGGCGCUCAAGGAGGCAAAGGACACCGUGGCAACUGCAGAGGCCGCCAAGAAAGAGCUAG